AGUGACGUAUUGGAGGAGUGGACAGUAUUGGAGGAGUGGACAGUAUUGGAGGAGUGGACAGUAUUGGAGGAGUGGACAGUAUUGGAGGAGUGGACAGUAUUGGAGGAGAGGACAGUAUCAUCCGGGUUACACUGACUUACAUUAUUUUGUUAUGUGCAAAUGGAAAUGGAAGUUGAAACGAAGAUAUAUGUGAUGUUCAAACCCUCUGUGUUCCUGACCGUUGCCAAAACCAUCCCUCAACCAAUAGCAUACAAAAGACAGAGCACUACAGAGAACAUGUACUGUUUUAUUAAUAGGGGAAUAUGUUGCCUUUUGGGAUGAGUACUGGUUGAGUUGAACGUCAGCAUUCUCCCUCUAGCACAGACUUAUUGAUAGGUAUUCAAUAUUUACAGACUGUGGAAAUGGUGCUACAUGUAAAUAGGUCCCUCUCUCCAGAGUUAGCCUUCAGUUAGUACUGUACUGUUGAUGCCCUUAUUAAAAGAGAACGCUAAGCCAUGUUGUAUUGGAUGCUGUGUUUGCUUCAUCAGGAGAACACGUCGCAUCUCAACCAACCAAGGCUCAGAUUAGCCUGGUCCCAGAUCUGUUUGUGCUCUUACCAACUCCAUUGCUGUCAUUGUCAAGCCACAGAUGUUUGGCAUGACAAUGAGUGACAUGGAGUUGACAUGGUACCAGGAACAGACGGGCACCCAAGUCUAGCUCAAGAGUGUACUUUAACUUAACCUCACGUUAUGCCGCUUCACAGAAAAAUAAAUAAUAAGAAAGACUGUAAGUAUUAACAAAUUAAUAUGUUAACAUACAAUAGCUGGUUGUUGAUUCUUGAAUUGGUCUACAUUGUGAUGUGUAAAAUAUCCUGUCUAUUUAACAUUUGUUGAUUGUAUAUAAUAAGGUUUAUGAUACGGAACAUGGUGGUAACUGACAAUAUUUUAACAUGUGCAUAUUUUGUAGAUUUGAUAUGUAAAUACUGUACUGGAAUACAUUAAACUGUUUUUAUAAUAUAGAAACGUA